GGGGCUAUAGUUUAAUUGGUUAGAGCACCGCUUUGUCAAGGCGGAAGUUACGGGUUCAAUUCCCGUUAGCCUCG
rnacentral:tRNA from 1 species